rnacentral:lncRNA from 1 species
UUGUCUUUCUCUCUUUACUUUCUCUCUUCCCCAAAAAAGCACACGGCCUCAUAUGGAACUGGUAUAGGCAUGUCCUAUCCAUUCUUAUAUUAUCUAUGACAACAAUACGAUGAUGUCUGAUUAGACUGGUUUGCGAUUAGGUAUUAACAGAUACGAGCGUCUAGAGAGUAGAGACCAUACUAUUAUCUAUGUUAUAACCUCAAAUAUUUUUCCAAUUAUUUCCCGUGUGAUAAGUUUGCAUGGCAUAUCUAUUAUCUAUGCUAGAGACUGAUAGUGCCUACUAUCUUAUAUUGUGCUCUCUGCAAUAAUUGCAGCUGACAUCGUGGUUCCGUGGUUAUAUGAUAUGGAAGUAUACCUUAUACUGGGUUAACGUUAAUCACAUAAAAAUACGUUAGUUAUUAAAUAAACGGUUAAGGUUAUAAGAUAACUCAUAAUUCAUAACAAACAGAAUCCGUGAGUCCGUGACUCAUGGUCGUAGGUAUUUUAUUUUUUAAUAUAUCUAAUACCCUAUUGGUUCUUCUAUAAAGUAUAAUUAUUGUCUUUAUUAUUAUUUACCACAUAUUGUAUUUUACGUAUUUUAUUUAAUAAUUUAAUACUUUAAUCAAACAUAUAUGUACCUGAAUUGAUUUAUGACACGUGGAUUGGAUGCUUGGCGAUUACAUUUGUACAAUUUAUGGUUUAAUCAUUUAUACAUAAUAUACUAUUUUUGUUCAAAUGUAUACCUAACCAAGGAACACUGGUACUUACUGGAUAAUACAUGACUUGUUAUGCAAUCAAAUGGCAUAUGACAACACAGAAAUAUUGCAACCAACUAUGAUGUUCCUGCGACCUGCCAGUUAUUGUAGAGUUUGUUUUGAUGACGGAUGAUUUGAAGGAUAUAGGUACAGGGUGUUUUAAGUGUUUUGUCAUAGACCGAGACAAGACUGGUAUACAAUAAUUACACUUCUUGCGUUAAUUUAAACUUUUAUUUAGUGUGUACUUAUUGUAUGUGUGUACUUAUACGUAUCGUUCGUCCAUAAACUCAUCGAUUCAAUGAUGAGUGCAGGCGAUCGUAAUUUUCGUUUUAUUAACACUUAUUAUUGCAUGACGUGAAAUUUUAAGUUUUAAAUUUGUUUAUGGGUACAUAUUUAUACAUCUGGUACCUACUCAUUGCAUUAUACAAUACUGUGACAAGGUGUUGAUUACUCAAAACUUCACACAAUUAUUUUAUUUAGAACUUUUCCUACUUAUAUAUAAAACUACUGAGAGUAUCUUAAACAUUUUAAAGUGUGCUACUGUAGCAAUGUUAUGUUAAAUUACAUUUUUUAUCUGAGUAAUCACAGAAGUUUUGGGAUAAAUAUUGGCCCAAAUAUAACAAAAAUUAUCUGCUCCUUCCAGCACCCCAGGAAAUAAAUUACUAGCUCCGUGACUGGAUGUCUGGGUCUACCUCGUCUCUAUUAGGUACUCUGUUAAAUGUAAGCUACACAGAUUUGUAACUCGAUAAUUUUGGCUGUAUGCGUUGCGAUUAUGCGAAUCAGUCAGUCAGGACUUGUUCCCUUAUAUACAUAAUAUGCAGAAGAUAUACCCGAGUAUAUAAUGUAAAUGUAUUACCAUAUCGAUUAAAUAUACUAGUAGUAUAUUUAAUCAAUAGUAUUAUACAGGGUGUAACAAUAAGAAG